rnacentral:rRNA from 1 species
UUCCGGUUGAUCCCGCCGGACCUGACUGCUAUCGGAUUGAUACUAAGCCAUGCGAGUCUUUGUAGUAAUACAAGGCAUACGGCUCAGUAACGCGUAGUCAACCUACCCUAUGGACAAGAAUAAUCUCGGGAAACUGAGCAUAAUUCUUGAUAGACCAUAAUGCCUGGAAUGGUUUAUGGUUAAAAUGAUUCGUCGCCAUAGGAUGGGACUGCGGCCUAUCAGCUUGUUGGUGAGGUAAUGGCCCACCAAGGCGAUUACAGGUACGGGCUCUGAGAGGAGAAGCCCGGAGAUGGGUACUGAGACAAGGACCCAGGCCCUAUGGGGCGCAGCAGGCGAGAAAACUUUGCAAUGUGCGAAAGCACGACAAGGUUAGUCCGAGUGAUUUCUGCUAAAGAGAUCUUUUGCUAGUUAUAAAACCACUAGUGAAUAAGGGGUGGGCAAGUUCUGGUGUCAGCCGCCGCGGUAAAACCAGCACCUCAAGUGGUCAGGAUGAUUAUUGGGCCUAAAGCAUCCGUAGCCGGCUCUGUAAGUUUUCGGUUAAAUCUAUGCGCUCAACGUAUGGGCUGCCGAAAAUACUGUAGAGAUAGGGAGUGGGAGAGGUAGACGGUACUCGGUAGGAAGGGGUAAAAUCCUUUGAUCUAUCGAUGACCACCUGUGGCGAAGGCGGUCUACCAGAACACGUUCGACGGUGAGGGAUGAAAGCUGGGGGAGCAAACCGGAUUAGAUACCCGGGUAGUCCCAGCUGUAAACGAUGCAGACUCGAUGAUGCAUUGGCAUAUAGCCAGUGCAGUGUCGCAGGGAAGCCGUUAAGUCUGCCGCCUGGGAAGUACGUACGCAAGUAUGAAACUUAAAGGAAUUGGCGGGGGAGCACCACAAGGGGUGAAGCCUGCGGUUCAAUUGGAUUCAACGCCGGG